rnacentral:snRNA from 1 species
GCUGUAUAAUAAAUCUAAAUCUG